rnacentral:rRNA from 1 species
UACGUAGGGUCCAAGCGUUGUCCGGAGUUACUGGGCGUAAAGAGCGCGCAGGCGGUCGUUCAAGUCGAGUGUGAAAGCCCCCGGCUCAACUGGGGAGGGUCAUUCGAUACUGAUCGACUCGAAGGCAGGAGAGGGAAGUGGAAUUCCCGGUGUAGUGGUGAAAUGCGUAGAUAUCGGGAGGAACACCAGUGGCGAAGGCGACUUCCUGGCCUGUUCUUGACGCUGAGGCGCGAAAGCUAGGGGAGCAAACGGG